rnacentral:rRNA from 1 species
GUGCCAGCCGCCGCGGUAAUACCGGCAGCCCGAGUGAUGGCCGAUCUUAUUGGGCCUAAAGCGUCCGUAGCUGGCUGCGCAAGUCCGUCGGGAAAUCCACUCGCCCAACUGAUGGGCGUCCGGCAGAAACUGCACGGCUUGGGACCGGAAGGCUCGAAGGGUACGUUCGGGGUAGGAGUGAAAUCCCAUAAUCCCGCACGGACCACCGAUGGCGAAAGCACUUCGAGAAAACGGAUCCGACAGUGUGGGACGAAAGCCAGGGUCUCCAACCGGAUUAGAAACCCCGGUAGUCC